rnacentral:lncRNA from 1 species
UGUCACAAGGUUUAUUGAAACUAUGUACAAUUCGAUAUCUCACAUUUUGAAUAUUGCUGAAGUACAUAAACAUAUAUAACACAAAGAUGUAUUCAAUGUCGAUCAUAUAUAAACACUUUUAGAGGAACAAAAAGAAGAGACAUACAUUACAUUUAAAUAACAGAAAUACAUAUGAUAAUAUCUGGAAUGGAAUAGACUUUCUUAUAUAAUGUUGUUACCUAAAAAAAAGGCUCUUAACAUCCCAUAAACAAGAACUUAAAUGCAAAAUGUGUGACCUCCAUAUUCGCAAAUCAAGAGAAGUACCUCUCAAACCAAAAGUGCAUCUGUUGCUUUUUUGGCUUCGAUUUUCAGCAGCCAUAUUGAUAUAAUGAAGUCUUAUAUACAUGUCUUGAAAAAAUAUAGCAAUAUUAUAGAUAUAACAAUAUCAUAAAUAUAAUAUAACAAUAAUAUAAAUAUAAUAUAACAAUAUUAUAAAUAUAAC